rnacentral:tRNA from 1 species
UUUUAAAUAGUGUAAUUUCUAAACACUUAACAUUUUCAUUGUUAAAAUUCUCUUUGAUUUAAAUU